AAUCCCUCUAUUGGGCAGUUGCCUUUUAUUUUAAGGUCAGUACCAUCUGAAUUUUCAAAUUGCAUGCAGACUAAUCAAUGAUUACCUUUUCUCUGCGCUGAAAAUAGCCUUCCUAGUUAAUACAUCACCACCAAACUCAGAGAUUUCUAGCCCGUACUUCAGUGUUUUCCAUUUUAAUCUCAGAGCAGAGAUAACUCUAGAUGUCUUAAAGCUUGCCUGGUCUCUACAAACCUUAUUAGAGAUCAAAAGAAAGAAGACAUGACUUCAUGCAGUCCUGGGCUACGUGUCGCACUGAAAAUACUCCGGAGCAUUCUGGGUCUCCAUUACUGUUGUGGUCUUCAUCCAGAUGGCUGAGCCCAGACUGCAAGGGUUGCCCUCAGUGCAGCUCUCCACAGGCCGUGCGCUAUCAGCUGGCACAUGGCAGCACCUGAGGUUGUUCACCAACAGGGCCACGACUGCCCUGGGGGGCUUACCAGCCCCGUCAGGCAUCCCAGGGACACAUGAUGCUUCUGAAUCCUGGUCACAGCUACAGUAGACACUUUCAGAGCACGCCAUUUAUUGCACGAAAUACAGAAACUUUCUGUGGACAAAGUGGAAGCAAGAGGAUUUCAUUUCCACAUACACACAGGCACACAUACAGCAGACCUACGCAGAGUGACAUUUGAAGUAAGAACCUCUCCUUGUAUUUAACCAAUGGACCUAUUAAUUUUCUAAUAAAGCACAACCCUUGGGUCACUUCAGGCCAUUUUUUGUGAUUUGCAUUGGAUGUUCUUCGAGACACAACAUUCAUCCAAUAAUAAUUAAAAUGAUAUACUGUACUAUUAACAUUCUCAAAUCUUUAAAGCAAAGUGAUCUAUCCCUGCAGCACUGGCUUUGCUGACUAAUUAAACAGAAUACAGUUGUAAAUGGCUAUUGUAAGCACUUCUCCCAUUUAAGAACACAGCUCUAGCAAGUGUAGUUCAUAGAGAUGGGUGAGUUAUCAGGAUUGAUCUGCCCUAAAGAGGUGGAUGUACCACAAACAGCAGGUUUCAUUUAAAUGCCCUCUCUGAGAUUAAUCUGUCUGCUAGCAGUUUGUUUACAAGGUUGCCUUUUCCCCUCCUACCAACUCUAUCAGCAGAGCAAUAAUAGUACUAUGCUAGUCAUAGACAGGAAAAAAAGAAUACUUACCGAGGUUAGUGGGGGAAAGAAAAAGAGUUACAGUGCAUUGUGUCUGCGCAUCAUGUUUUCCUGAAUAUGAGUCAGCAAAAACUGGAACAGAAACAUCACUGUGAAGAAGCAGGAGCAGCAACAGCAUUACUCUAUUCCACCCAGCAACAACACAGUGAAUCCCAAUCACUGAGAAGUGAAGGGCUGACUUCACCCCCUCCUCCCCCCCCAUCCCUUCCUUAUUAAGAGGAUAUUCCUCCCUAGUAUUGAGCUUUGAUGUCAUCUUUGAGCAUCAAAAUGAAAACCGGGAUUGGAUGACAUUAUUUUUUACCACAGAUCCAAACAUCCCUGAUUCACUCAAUAUAUGGGGAUGAUACAAAUGGCUCAUCCUACCUCUGUCAAACAGCAAGGAGCAAAUACAGCUCCCAGAAGAGUGGAGGGCAUUCUGGACUCCAAUGCAUACGUGCUCUUCUUCAGAGAAAACAAACUUAGAUAAACUUUAGAUGCAUAAACCCAAGAUGAAACAAGCUUUUGGCACCAACUGAAUGCUGAGCAUAAAGGCAGCCAGAAGGUGUAGAUUUAAAUGUCUAAUAUACACUUAUAUUUAAUUAUGCUGACCUAAUCUUUCAGGGAAAAAAGAAAAAAAAAACAACAACUCUGCUAUCAACUUAAAUAUCCAAUAAAAUAGUAAACUUCAUCUGCACCUUUGAUGUUUAGAAAAGCUACCUUCAGCAUCUUCUCCCACUUGUAAUGCCAGGAACAAAAUUCAAAAAAUAUCUAUCUGCAACUACUUUUGAGAAUCUGCCACAGGGCUUACACUGCCCUGAGGCUUUCUCUACUUUAUUCUCUUAAUAUGAAUAAAAGAAAGAACCAACCCAAAAUACUACCUAGAAUCUUCCUGGAGAUGGGAAAGAAUAAGGGUAGAUUCUAUCUCCACUUCUAUAUACAAUAGAACACAGAUAAUUAUUAUUUUUUUUUAAAUGUUUCAUCUGACUAUCUCUCUCUCUAAUUAAUCUGUUAAAUGAGAUAUAAUUCCAAGGUGGAACAUCUGAACUCCAGCUAACAAGUUCAGAUUUACACCCCAAAGUCUACUUGAACACUGUUUUCUUAUGUGUUCUAAAAAAUAUUGUACACUGAAUCGGUGAAAUAACUAAUUCUGCCGCGUUUAUGUGCCAAAUCAUGCUGCAGACUGUAUAAUUUAGACUAUGAAGAGAUUAAUAUGCUGUGAGUAAAUAAACUUUGCAAGGUUGUAUCUUAUUAAUUUCCAUUUGUCUGAAUCAGAAGUUAGGGUAAUUGGCAAGCAUAGAACUCAGAUACCAGGAAUUUUACUCCAAGAAUGAUCAUUAGAAUACAACAUUGUGCAUAAUCCUAGUUUUGGUUGUUCUCUCUCCAAAGCACCGCAGGUAUACCUUGCCAUAUAAUCAUAGGCUCCAUAGAGUUGGACUAGAUGACCUUUAAAGGUCCCUUCCAACUCCCCUGCUAUGAACAGGGACCCCUACAGCUAGAUCAGGUCGCUCAGAGUCUGGUCCAGCGGGGCCUUGAACGUCUCCAGGAACGGAGCAUCCAACACGUCUCUGGGCAACCUGUCGCCCUGUCUUCCAAUUACAAAGAGGACAGUGGAUGGGUGUUGUAAGGUAAUACAUGGUCUCAAGCUAUGCCAACACGUUUCUACCAGUCAGUCAUAAUAUUCUGUUCUCCACUUCUAAAUUUGCAGCAAUUUGCUACAAAAUGAACAUUUUCUAGUAGUCCAACAGAACAUUAGAUAAGAGGAUAUAUAUUUUUCUAAUAUUAAAUCUCUCUGGAGCUUCAUUUUUUUCAGCAAAUUUUUACAGGCAGCAUUUUUCUUUGAAGGGAAGGAGUUUAAAAAGCCAUUUUGCAUAGCAAAUUUUUUAAUAAAAAAUAAUAUUAAUUUUUUAUAGAUGUAGACCUAGAUGGAAUAAGUGACAUUUGAUACAAUCACCUAAAUAAAACUACAAACAAAAUCAAAACUCAUUGAGCUAGAUGGUUCUUUACAGAAUGUGACUACUUCAGUGGUGACCUAUGAAAUUCAACAUAAAAAAAAAAAAUCAGCCAAUUGGGCUUAGAGCUUUAGCACAAAAAAAAUACAGUAAGAUACAGAGUGAUACUGAAAUGGAUUAAGAUGUAUCACCUAUAGGCAAGUGUGCAUGCAUAUUUCCCUUUUAUUCUGUUUUUCUUUAUUCAUAGUUUCCCAAAAUUUCAUCUAGUACAUCAGAUUGAAUUUUUCUAGGUUCAGCUGGUGCCUGAAGGUGAAUGUCUAUUGAACACUUCAGACAAGGAUUGAGAUACUUAAAUUGGAAAGCGGGAACAAAAGUAUGGGCUUUCCAAGAAAACAGAGAGAUCAAUAGAUACCUUUCAGGAGAAUUGCAUUCUGUAUUUAUAGCGAGGGUAUAAGGAAGAAGAACACAGUCUAUUUCAAAUGGAAACACGUAAAUUCUUGUUCCAAGACAACAAUCCUACUUUCCCAAGAUUGGACAAAAUAACUCCUAUUGGCUCUCUUUUAUUUACAAAUCAACAGGUUAACAAAGAGACAAGAAAAGACCUUAUAGAAGCUACUUCUGUGAGAGGCACAUUGUGCUAUUUCACUUCAUGAAGAAAGUGUUGGAAGAGUUUGCUGCUCCAACUGAGAGUCUGUUGCAGGCUUUAUUGAAUGCCUGUUGCUCACUUUGGACCUCCUUUCUUAGGUUAAAUCUGUGUGAAGCUUUCCAGGCAGAAGCUGCUUCAAAUUUCACAGUGAAUUCAUCUGUCAGUCCAAUACAAUGAACAUUUCAGGUAUUCAGAAUGAAAGCAAGAGCGCUUCCAGUUGAGGGUCACUGCUUUUUAUUACUACCCAUUCACAGGUAGAUGCGACCACGUUAGUUUCAAGGUGUAGACUCUACUUAUUUACCUCUAAGCUUACCAGCCAUGUACAUCCUUGCAAGGUCUGUGCCAACAGUGUUUUUUUAAAUUCAUCGCCUCCAUCAGGUAUUAGCUGUGAUAGGUACUUGGUAACCAGCAGUCUCAGAACCAUAAAUGUGUUCUUAAGUGUUCCAUGGUUGCAUGUUUGUGUGAUUGGGGUGCAUGUUAACACAUCACACAAGGACACGAAAGGGUCAGAAGAGAAUUCCUGCAGAGUCACAACAGUUAACUCUCACUUUCCACUGUAAGGCCACUCAACGGCUUGGACAGAUGUGAGGACAGGAAGUCUUGUUUUUUAUUAAAUACAAAUGUUUUACUGAAGUUCAAAGCCUAACAUUCAAACACACAAGCAGCAUCAGAAAGUGACAAGUGUUGGUGGAGACAUGCCUUUACAAGACUUUGGCCUGGGAUGUUACGUUGUUUUGUAUUUGGGUUUGGGGAGUACUUUUAACAAAGUAGUAAAAAAUAUCCUAUUACACAGUAGUGUAAUUCCAUAUUUUAUAUUAAUUGCUCUUAAAGAUCAAAAGCUAUAUUCUGUCUGUUAAUGUACACACUCGCAUGGUCUCCUAUGAAAUCAAUGAGAUCCACAUGUGUGCAUCUGAGACCUAAAUUUCUCCCCAAAGAUUCUUUAAAAUCCUUUUACAGAGCAGUAAGUCAUAGAAGAAAGUCAUGUGUUCCCUUUCUUCUGCCUCUAUACCCAAGCCAGACAUGAAUUAUUACUGCUGCUCCGAAUUACACUGGAUGAUAACGGUACCCAGAGGGGUCACUGGCCAGCCAGAGAUUACCAUUGCUCAGCAUGUUCUGUUCUCACCUUCAUACAUUCCUCAUCAAUUCUGCAGUCCUCUUACACCAGCAAAGAAAUGCAAAAUAAAUGCAGCCCAGCUUCACACUAAGUCUACUGAGGAGACUGGAAUGUGCUAUAGGUAUUUAAGUGGCAGGCUGAAGCAUGGUGGGAUACCACAAUGGCUUUCUAUGGCCUGGCAGAACAAAAUUUGGUAUAUGCACACAGCUGCAAUGUAAUCACAUUUGCAGAUAACUGGAAAGAUUUUAGACAGAAAGUUAAGUAGAUAUGUAAUUUUACUUGUGGGAAAAAGUUCAGUGUCUUCAAAAAUGAACAUACAGGAAUCCAGUCAACCAUCUUUAUAUUAAGUAUAAAAAAACCCACUGAAACAGUCUGCCAUGAUUGGCAAAAAUUAGCAAGACUGCUGUCAGUUUUAGCAGAAUUGCCUAUGAGAGAUGCAAAUCUCUGAAAGAGUAGCUCAGGCUAAGUCUGAGUUGAGUUUACAAGCUUGAAAAUCUUGUGACAGCAGGUACCAAAACAGCUUGAACACUAGGAAGGGCUUGAUGACAACUUUCACCACAGUAUUUCAGCAACUCAACUUCUAACCCUGCUUGAGCCCAAAUAUUCUCAGGGACAUACAAUGAAAAAUAUACUGAUAUGGCUUCAUGAAGAUAUCCUAACAGCAAAAUGCUUUGACUUUCGAGGCAGCAGCUGUUCUCCCUAUCAUCUAUAUGGAGAACAUUAGCCUGUGAUUUGAAUUCAUUUUAACUAAGAAUAAUGCUGUCCUUGCCUAAACCAGUACACAGUACACAACCCACCAUCUGAUCCAUGGAGCCAUGUUGGUACACUGAAACAGUCACCAAGAAGUUUCUAAAGUCUUGUGAGCUCAGGCAUCUACUUCAGCUGCAACAGCAGGCGCUUAGCUCUGCACAGAGGCUGAAGUGGAACUGGAAGAUCAAUGGGCAUAUGUAGCUGGGGUCAUGCUUGAUUCAGUGUAUGUCAAUUCACUGACUGAAGGAGGGUGACUUAUUUCAAUACAAAGAGUAAGUUAAGAAUGUUCCAUAACAGAAAGAAAAGGAGGAAGUAUUAGAUAUUCAGGGCAUUUGCAGCACAUGCUCUGUGAGGUAACAGAUGAAAAGAGAAAGCUUUAUAUUGAAUUCAAAGAAACAUGAAUCUUGAGAACAACCAAUUUACCCGUUGUUUUUUUUUUUUCCUCCAAUGAAAAGAAUGGCUGUCUAUAAUCCAUUACAAUUGUACCAAAAAGAAAAAUAUGAUUAUAAGCUGAAAAAAGGCUAGAUUGCAAAUAACAGCUUCCUUCGGAUAUUAGAGUGAAAAAAAUCCCAAACAUCAGUGAAAGUUUGAUUAUUUUUUCCAAGAAUAAAGAAAAGAUUAAGUUUAAUGGUAUCAAAAUUAAAGGUGAACUUCAAUGGUUCUCCAAUGGAGAAAAUAUCUUAAUUUGGAGGGAUGCCUACCAUUUUGUUCAGCAAUCAAGAAAAUGUGGAAGAGAAUGGGGAGAGAAAAAAAAAGAAAAAACUAAGCAGAAAGAUCAGGUAACUGACAUGCUACUAUAGUCUUCGUAUGGAGAAGAGAGACUAAAAAAAUCUUCCUGCAAAAAAAAAAAAAAGGUACUUGAAAUAUAUUUGAAUAACCUCCAGUAUUAAAAGAUUCAUAAGUAUUGCUCAUAAAUUGUUAGAACUCCAUGCCUAGCAGGUAAACAGUGGAUUACUCAACAUAGCCGUUAGAUUUCAGAUGUGAAAAUGAAAGUAUGGACUCACGUGUCUAGUUAAGGUUCACGUUUUGUAUGCACUGAGGGAAAAAUCCUUUUUGUUGAGGAAUAUGUAAACAGAGCAUGUAAUUUUUGAUAACUGAUGUUUAUGUUUACUUUCUUUUUGACAUUUAAGUAUAACUGACAUACUGAUGGCUAAGGAAAGAAGACAACUAAGCUGGAAGAAUAAUAAACAGAGCGCUGUGAGAGAUGGAAGAGAAGAAAAACAUGGUGGGAAGAACUGAGGCAGUGAGGCUAAGUUGCAAAUGAGCAGACAAGUAAUAGCUUGGUGUUUCACCACAAUAUCAAAUGAACUUUCAGAACUUUUCAGAAGUCAAAUGCAUUUAAAAUAAUUAACGAGUUUGCUUUAAAAAGCAUAUGCAUCUUCUCUCUUGUCUGUUAAGCCAGAAUGAUACAAGGAGAGAUUGUGAAGAAAAUUAUAUCUACAGGCAUUGUUUUUUGUUAUUGUUGUUAAAAAUAUUUCCACAUUAAGUGGCAAAAGAAAAAGAAAGAAAAAAAUGUAUUCAUGUUCUUUGAGCCUAACAAUUUCUGUGAAUCUUAAGAUCACUCUUGAGGACCCAACUCUACAGAUCAUCAUCAAGAGGUAAAAAAAGAUCACACCUGGAAAGAUCUGAAAAAUUCUGUUUUCUCAUUUAGCAUGCCUCCCUGCUAAACAUACGUGUCAAUCCUUGCAUAGCACCCCGAGCAAUCCAGCUUUACUCAUAGUGUCUGCAUAGACGCCAAUACUGUUUGUGUUCAACACAAACAAAAUCAAAAACUUUAAGUUCACUUGGGGCUGAGAAGGACCUUAAUACCUUUGAAGCUAUUAGUGUGACUGAAAUGGAUGAGACCAAACAGGAUACACAGCUGUCACCAAAACCCACAAACUGAGCACUAUGUAGUGUUGCUGAUAUAAACCUCAUUUACAUGAGAGCUAACACAUGACUCUGAGAGAAGGCACAUGGACCACUGGGUUUGAGGUACGUGAUCAUGUCCUUAUCUUGCACUGCUCAGCAGACUGUAUUUUUGCACCCUGCUUCCAGAGGUUAGCAUAAGCAUGGAAAAUUCUUUUACACAUUUAAUUACACUCUUACAUCUAGAGGCCCUUUGCUCAGUUUAUCAGAGUCCAACUUACUGUCUAUAGAAUUAUUAUCAGACAAAUCCCUGUCUCUUCCUUCUAAGUAAAAGGUUUAAGAGAUUAGAAAGUAGAAGAGAAGCCAUAUACAGCUAAUGAAGGACAAGCCUCCAAAUGUUUGGAGGUUUAUUUCAGAGAUACAUAUCUACAUACACUUUUUUUAACAGAAGAACAGAUACAGAGUCCAAUUUUGACUUGCUUAAACAGAGGACAGGAUAAGAAAGAACACUCUGAGAUACUACCCUUCUGAAGUCUCUAGCUGAACAGAAGAAAUAAUGUGUUUCCCAGCAAUAAAGAGUAGUUAGGUACUGAAUGUCAAAAUUGUAAUGUUCUGAAGUUCCCGGCAGCUCUACCUGCUUGAACCCCUGUUGAACCUCCCCAGGCUACCUCCUUGAGCCCCAGGCAAAGGCCCUGCUACAAUUGAUAUCUGUAGUCCUAAAUCCUUGUCAUACCCAGAAGGUGCUAGCAAUCUGCCAUUAAACUCCAGUAACACUAGGCCAACAUUUUACCCUCGGUUAUGCUCACAGAGCUUCCUUUAGUGCAAUUUGACCAACAUUAAAAAUGGAGAGCAAGAACAUCAUCAGCUAUCAACGCUAUGUUUGCCACACUGCAAGCCUUCUCAGCUAAAGCACCACCAGCCUCACUACUUUUAGUUGUUCCAAAUGAGAUUCCAACAGCUAGUGGAGGUAUUGUACUAAUUAAGAUUUUGAGAGUAGAAAGCAAAAUCAUCCUGUCUGACCUCACACUUGGCAUAUUACAGUUCCUUGCUUUCCUACACGAGAUUGUAUUGAUAACAAUCAAUUGCCAGUAGGGAUCUGAGGCAGUGAGGUAAAUAAAUAUAUAAAUGCCUCCAUAUGUGUUCUCCACUUCCUUAGGCAAAAAUAAUGAGUCAAAUGAGAGAAAGAUCUGCAGCUCUCUUUUGUAUAUAGUUGCUGUACAUAUACCAACAUGGAAGAAGCCUUCCACAGACUUCUGUCAUCACUCUGUGUGAAAAAGCUCUUUUAAAGGAACAGCUACCAAUAGGCAAGUGAGCCAGAAUACUUUUGUGCAGGAAUGUGCGUUUCUCACAUAGCUCAGGCUACCAAAAGGAAUACAAAUAUUUGCAGGAGUAGAAAAAGAUGCAGAAAGGACAGCGAAUCCUCUCACUGCUGAAACACCCUAAGUAGGAAGCAGUGGAGACUCCAAGGAGAAGAAGAGUCUGGAGAAAUCAGCAACUUAAGAGUAACAGUGAAUGAGAAGAAGAGACUGGGAGAGGGAAGAAAAAGGCCUCUGGAUUUCCACCAGAAUUAAACUGGAGAAAUGGGAGCAGGAGGGGCACAGGAGAAGCAGGUUAAAGAGAUUUUGCUCCUAUCUUCGUCAGCAAAGAGGGAGUAGGAAACAAGACCCAGACAGCAUUUCUCUCAAGUCUGCUGCUCUAGGCAACUGUUUACUUUGCUUUUGCCCAAGAUAGCGUGAGACGUUAUAAAAUGAGUUUCCACAAUGCUCUGAGUCACCAGAAUAUGGAUGAGAUCUGUGGAUUCAAGCCACCUUUCAAGAUUAUGAAUCUCUUCUGAAUAUCCAUUAUGCCAAUGAUACAUAACAAAAUCACUGCUGUAAUGUGAUGCACAUGUCAACUUUAAGGAUACAGUCCCUGCUCAGAUGGCAUCAGCAUAGGGAAACGUCAGCAUGGUGGAUUACCAGAGCAAAUGCUUUAACAUGCAAUGUGAUGCAAUGUGUUUUAACAACAAUUGUUCCCUUAUGUUUGUUUGUGUCAGGUUUGACGUGACUAUCCGCCAGGACAAUGCUCAGGAUUCUGUGUGUUGCAUUGCAGAAACUGAUUAUGUGAUCAAAUGCUUAAAGCACAUAAAAUCACGCCCAAGAUUCGAUGAGAUAUAUAUGCCAGAAAAUUCAGUAGGUGCUUAAAGUAAUUGACGCUAACAGCUAGACCUGGGUUUUUCAAAGGAAUAAGCGUUUUUGUUUGUUUGUUUUUCCUAAUGCAAUAUAAUAUAAACUGCCUAGAAAUUCAGCCUUAGCAUAAUGUUCAGAUCAAAUGAAAUUCACCCGUUAAGAAAGAACAUACACAGGGUCCUCCCUGAAGUGGAAAAGACAGCCUCUGAGUAGAACAGAUACCCUGGGAGACUUCUUACCCUGUGCACAUGCCCAAAAAGACAGCUCUGAAUCUAACUGCAUUGUAGAUCUAACGCUUGUAGGAUUUGGAGGCUCAACACUGAGCUGUAGCUCUCAGCAGCCCUUUUUCCCCAGUCCGUGAAACUCAGAAUCCAGUGGAGACAAAAACCUCUAUAGAAAUACUGUAUAUGUAAAUGGACUUAGAAGAAAAAGGGAGGGGUACCUGCUCUUAAAUUAGUCAUAUUUAAAAUGUAUUCUCAGAACACACUGAACUAUCAAACAGUCCCCAAAGUGAAGAAAUGUGAUUCUCAUUCAAGACUUAAGAGCAAAAGGCAAAACAACUGUGUCCCUUGCUCCAAAGUCAUUAUCUCACAUUAAGACUUCAUCCCGUUCUCCCAGUUCAGAAUUUAGUCUGGUUCUAAUGGCUCACUAGACAGUUUUGCAAGAUCUUCAUGCUCUCAUAGGUAUUUAGGCACUGAAAUCAGUGAGAAGUGGUACCUGUACACUUUCAGAAAUCUGUCUUUAAUUUCAACAUCCCAUAAAUUUUUUUAACAAAAACAUCCUUCAUCUUUUCUGCUUCACAAGUGAGUUGUGAAGCUUAAUUACACAAUGAUUAUGAAGUCCAGCAAAUACAACAUAUAUUAAGAGUACUUAAUGAGAUUUCUGUCACAAGCAGACUCUCUCUUGUAAAAUAUUACUCACACGUUGCAGGAAAAAAACUCAAGAGAAAAAAAUACAGAUGCAUUAAAUAUAAAACAAAUCUAGCUUGAUUACUUCCACAAGUAAUAUGUUAUACAACUCUAUAACAUCUGUCAGGACAGCAUAGAGAAUAGCAUAGGCUUUUCUGAUCAGAAUGGAAUCCUGUCAGCACGGAAUUCUGUCAGCACAUCCAUGUACUCAUUUUUACCUGCAGUGCCCAUCCAAGACAGGGCCUCCAGACCCACACACGAUCUGCUUCCCAUGAGAUCUAGUGGCUUAAAUACCUUCAAAGACCAGACAUGAAGUUCUGUUCCUUCAAAUCACAGAAUCAUGGAAUCAUAAAAUGGCUUGGGUUGGAAGGGACACCCAAGGAUCAUCAAGUUCCAAUCCCUCUGCUGCAGGCAGGGCCACCAACCUGUGGUGGUUGUAAAUAUUUCCCAAAAAGAUGCCAGCAUACUAACCAAUUACCACAUUUAACAGCACAGUGGAAGAUGGCUAGACAACUAUGAGCAGACAGACGAUCAUACAGAAGGCAUUGCUUGCAUACUUAGUGAUUUCUCAGGCCAUAACAAAGCAUACAGCCUAACUAGGGUAGGAGGACUCAAAAGAGGAAGACCAUUCCUUAAGAAUACAGAGCUGUUUGGCACAUUUCUGUGAACAAACAGUGUAGCUGUUAAAAUACAUUUCCUGUUAGCAAUUAUGGCUCAGAGCUCACAGACGCUUUUACAGAACUUGGACAGGAGUGAUUUUCAGUACAUAGUGUCUCUAACAGCAAGUUAUAUUAAUAUUCACCAAAGGAAAACCUGUUUGUUGACCCAAAGUGUGACUGCUUACAAUUCUCUUCUUGUGAAAUUAUUUAGGUCCUGUGGGACAACUGUACUGAGCUUUUGACGCAAAUAUUAAAAUUCUAUUUAAAUGUACAAUGUUUUAAUGCAAAUUUUUACCAUAAAACCAAAUGCUCCAUUCAGUUAAAUUAAUAGAAUUACAAAAAGAUGUAAUGAUAGCAAUUAAGUCUUGAAAAUGCAAAUUUUAUAGUCAAGGACAAUUACCUCAUUUAUAGUAUCCUGGAAUGAUGCCAGAUGAAGGUAAUUUAGAUCUCCCUAGCUCACAGUUAUAUCAUGAAGGAUAUCUUAAUUUCAUUAGUACAACAAAGAUGGGUGAGAACUUGGACAAUAUGAAAAAAAAAAGGGAGGGAGAGAUGGGAGAGAAAAUUUGACCUUUCUCAUUUCACCGCAACUAGAAUACAUAGAUCUUACUAAAGGAUUAGUAAUAUUUCUUUCUAUUCCUAUCUCUGGGGAAAAAAAGGGGGGGGGGGGGCACUUUUUCUUUUCUUUUUUUUUAUUAGCAGCAAUGGAACAUUAGUAUGAAAAAGGUCAACUCCCUUCAGAUUCUUAGAGCCACUAUGCCCACAUCACAACAGUUAUGGACCAUUCCUUAUUUCAGUUUUAAGGAUGAAUACAGCAUUGGCUCUUGGCUGACAGAGUAUCAAGCUAUGGCCUAGGGACACAUGGUUUUGACUCCAAUAUGAUUUAAAAUGUUCUUGAAAAAUUCUUCUUGCUCUUACAAAUACAGCCCCACUUCAUCCAAAGAGGCAAGUCAAAAAUCAUCAGUUUCUCAUUAGCAAGCAAAGAGUGAUCAAGUAGACAAAGAAUACAGAUUGAUAUGCCAUAGAUUCAGUAGUCUCCUUUGAAGGAAAAACAAAACCAAACUCUCAUACAAGUUCUUUAGCACAUUAUCAAGUUCAAAUAGGAGUUUGCAAUACUGCAGAUAUCCCUCUUCCUUUCCUUUCUCUUUGCUGUAGUAGCUACCCUUGACCCUUGAAGAGAUUUCAAAAAAAAAGCAUAUUAAAUAAGGUGCACCAUAAAGUUUAAUUUUAAAACUUUACAACUCUCAAUUUUUCUUCCUGGCCUGUUGUAGCCACUGCAAAGAAACUCAACUUCCAGAAAAAUAGCUGCAUCCACCUAAAAUCUUCUUACAUCAAAUUCCCUUACCAAACCUAACAUGUAGGCUCUGGAGAGAGCGGAAACCUCCAAGGACAGAGUAGCAAACUUCACCUCUCUCCUUAUCUUGAACACAACUAACAAAGAUAACAUGAAAAAGCCUUCCCAAGAGUAGAAAUAUCUGCUUACCGUCAGCAUUUGGUGGUUUUGCUGUAGAUGGUGCAUGCUGAAGCCAUCCCAACCUCCUGCUGACAAACCUUUCCUUAACACCCUGAGAUAGGCAGGUUCUAGAGGAUCGGCUUUAUAACUUCGAACAGCACCACAUAGCGACAGGAAUGCAGCAUUAGAAACCCCCAACACUCCUCAGAAAGGGUUUCUUCCAUCCAGUUAUUCUGUUUUAUGAAAAACAAGCCUUUUCUGAAGGAAAAAGUACCUUAAUUUUUCAUGUCAACGAUGCUAUCAGUCACCUCUGCCGCUUGAAAACAAUGGAUGACACUCUGGCUCAAGGAAAGCCACCUGCUUCCUUUGGGGUUAAGACGUCUUUUGGUGAAUUUCAUCUCCUAUCAAGCAAUAGCAAAAUUAGAGCUUGUACCACUAUUGCCUUCGUUCCGUGCUUUUGAUGCUUAUAAUCCCAUUACACCUGACAACUUAACCUGAGCUUGUUAUUCAUAGACAUGUAUGGUCUGAUGAAACAUUCCCAACUCCUGAAAAAUCUUUUUGUGUGCUGUUGGGAGAUUUGGCCUAAUAAGAAGUGCUUGAGUGGGUGUAGACUGGGUAUGUUUGUACCAUAUUAUACAAUAUGGCUUAAAUUUCCAUGGCAUUUUAUUGGAAAGUGUGAACCUGACAAGCUAAUAGUUUGUGAAUCUGUUGAGUCUCUGCUGUUGCAUGGAGAAAUGUUUUGUCUACGCUAUUCCCAGUAUGCUUCAAUUGUAAAAAAAACAGGCUGCGAUCAUAACACAUCUUCAUGUAAAUCAAAGUAAAUUUCUGCAGGACAAUAUUUACCACUGUUAUGUACCACAGAUCUCCCAAUUCCUCAUUUGACCUAACAGUCGGAAUGAUCUCAGGCCAGCAAUAAGCUGAAUACUGGUUGCUAAGUAAUAUUUAAUUUAAGCAUGAUGUUGUGGUCAACAAAAUGAAUUAGCAUUUUCUGCAUUAAUGAAGAUCCAGGCCUAAAAUCAAAUGAUGAUGUCAAAAAAUUAUGGAAAAUAUUAUUGAUCUAAUUCUUCCUUUUAUUACACUGACAGAGAAACAUGCUUCUUGGAAAUGUUACAUGUGAAGGAAGAAUUUUUCCUAUUGCAUCUUCUUUCAAGAGAUUCAGUUUUCUACUCAGGACUCCAAGAGAGUAAUUUACAUUUGUGAUCACCCAGCCAAUUCAAGGCAACUGUGGAAAGAAACACUAGUAAGAAUUCAUUUUGUUGAUCUUAUCAUAAAUGUGAGAGAGAUUUAACUUUAUCCUAAAUUCCACUAAAACCUAGAAUGCAAUAAAGAAAUAAUCAUACAUGAAUUUGAGUCAGUACUGUUCCUCAUCAUUAGGCCACCUGACAAGCUAGAAAGCAACUUCGCUAGUGCAUAUUCAUUCCAAAUUAAUACAGUAAUUCUGAAAACUGUUUCUUUUUUCCCCUACUUUUAUGCAUUUAUUGCUUUAUUUCUCUAUUGCUAUUUCCAGUCCAUAAUGCAAUGCAGCUUGUGGAAUGUAAUCCCCUUUCUUCUCCUGACCAAACUCCACUCUGAAUGCUGCAUGGAUGGGAUCCUUUCUUUUCUGUUUUUUUAAUGUUUUUCUUCUCACUUUACAUAUUCUCAAAAAUGAGAUGAAUUUCUGAUUAUUUUCCAUUUUCCCCACUUUAUGAAUAUUAGAGUGGUUUUCUUUUGCAAUGUGGCUUGGCCUGCAUUUCAAAGUCCACAUUUUGAGUGGUUCCCUGUGAUUUUUGGACACUUGGCAUUUUCUGGGUCCAACUCAGAGAACUGUUUGAUUUUCAAAUAUUCAGAGCAUUCUCAAAGCCUGUUAAGUACAGACAAUACUUUCAGUGUUCUUUAGGUCCUUUAGGCUUAUUUUUUCAUUAACCCAAAACUGAGGUAAAAAAAAUCCUGUGUUCUAUGAAUUCCACAGUGUUGUGCAGAGAAGGGCAGUGGGAAAACUGAGUUAAAUGCAGGAUUCAAGUUUUUCUGACUCUUGCACAACUUGUUGUCUAAUGGACCCCAUAGGCUCUCAGCAAUACCAGCUGUCUCUAAAAUUCAACCAACAGUGGAAAUGACUACCGCUGUUCUGUCCAUGGAAAGCAUGAAAAGGUUAUUUAAAAAAAAAAAAAAAGAGUGGCUUGCUUAGAUAUCACACAAAUGUAUUUGCUUUUUUUUUACUUAGUGAAAAGGCUGUAUUAUAAAAGUAAACUUUUCAAAACAGAAAAAGUAGGUAUCAAAUACAGGAAAGAAACAAAAAGACUAUAAAGUAAUCUUUACAAAAGCAGAUUGCACUGACACUGUCUUGCUCACAGUAACACACAAAGUAAUUUCAUAAAACCCAGCUUUUAUCUUGUUCUAAUAAAACAUCAAGCUAGCAACAUUAUGGUGAGGGCUUUCAUUUUCUUUUCGAUAUAGAUUCUGAUUGGAAGUAUUAGCUGAUGCAGCAGGAUAAAUAAAGAAAUGCCUAGAUUGUUAUGGUUCCCAAAGGUCAUUUUUAUGAAAAGAUCAGGAAAUAUGUUUCAUUGAAAUUAAAAGUAAAGCCAUAUCAAGUUUAAUAACAUUGUUACCAUAAUGACAUAAAAUUCAGUGAGAUGGUGUAAUGUUUAAUAUUUGACUGUCAAGCCUCUGCAGUGAAGCUGUGUGAAAGCAUUUAAACUUCUAAAACUGAAUUUCCUUUCAGUUUUAUUGCUGUUUUAUACCCAUCUCCUUUUUUUCCUUGCCGUAAUAUUCUGUGUUUCUUUGUUGAAUUUGAUGUUAUCAGUAAAAUACAAUAAAAACUCGUGGAGGGACACGUCUCUGUUCCAUAGAAGACUUAGCAAGGCUAGGCAUCCCCAGAUGACCAAAGGCUGUCUGUGCCAAAUCAUUUUUUCCAUCAAGUAAGAACCCCAGCAGUGUUGUAGGGCAUGGCAAGAGGGACGCUGUCAGGGCACAGCUACCCUCUGGGUUUUCUCAGUUGUGGCACUGUCAGAGGUGGAUUAAUAUGAGAAGCUGUAUCAGCCCUCAGCGAUUCUGGGAAAGGUCUGGCAUAAUGCCACUGUUCCCGGGUCUGCAUUCACAUAAACAAUUGUAAAGACGACUGAAGCCAGCAACUGCGAAGCCUGAGUGGUCUCUGGCUUUGUACAGCCUUUUGUUGGACACUGUGCUGAGUGCUAGGAUCAGAGAAUUGAAAAGUUUACAGCUUGGCACAGCUCUGCAAAAUUCUGAUUUUCAGAUAAAUAAACAAAACCCUGUCUCCAUCCAUGGGACCAAAAUUAUUCAAUACACUAAACAACAAGUAACAUUCUGGAAACAAAUUCUUUCUUUAAAAUGCAAGCUUGGUUUAGCACAUUUUCCCAGGAUGAAUUUCACCAGUUUAGCUUAAGAGUUGUUCAGUCUCAUCAGUGUAAAAAACAAGUAGCUGUGAACAUUCCUGAAACACUUACUUGGAGAUUCUCAUAAAGGAAAGAUCUGAGUGCCCGAACCACCAGAGUCCAUACAACCAUAGAACUGCUUGAGUUGGAAGGGACCCUUAAAGUCCAUCUUGUCCAACCCCCCUGCAAUGAACAGGGACACCUACAGCCACAUCAGGGUGCUCCCCUUUAGAUACUGAAAGGCUACUAUCAGGUCUUCCUGGAUAUUUCUCUUCUGCAGGCUGAACAGCCCUGGCUGUAAUACAGCUAAAUAUUCUGAUGGUUUUACCUCAUAGUUUUCCAUCAGCUUUGUUGCUGAUAGAGGAUGCAAAGAUUGAGGAUUUAAGCUUGCUGUAUUUGUUCUCUUUGUCUUUUUGCCAGACUGGCUGUGAUGAGCAGGUACUGGAUAUGCAGUUUGGUCUGUUGCAGCUGUUCUAGUACAUAAUCUGAUUCAAAAACAGGGAAUAUUUGGAGACUCUUAUUGGUAAAUACUGCUACUAUGGAUUUUAUAAGUACUGCAGAUGUGCCCUUGCCACCUUUGAUCUAGUAACAUGGUGCUUCUUACUAUGUGGACAAAUAGCUCUGAAUGUACAACUCAAAGAUUUGCCACUCUCCAUGAACAAGCUUCACUUUCUGCCAUUUGUGCCUGAGGUUAUUAUUUGAGCUGUGUGGAUCAUUCCUUACGAAAAUUAGAACUGUGAGCUAUUUAGCUGGACUUAUCUUUUCUAUAAAGGUGAAACUAAAUAGGUCUGACACAAAAUAGCUGUGGAAUGAGAGAUUCUGAUUCUCCUUGGAGCUUGUUUUAUACAAAGACCAUCUUAAAUUGCAUGUUUGCUAAUUCCUCUGUCUUAAAGACCUCAAGGAAGGCAGAAAGUAUGAUACAUCUACAUGAGUUGUACCCAGCUCUAGGCUGAUAGAGACUUUAGGCAGUAUUAAAACUGCCAUCGAUUCCAAAUCCCUAUCUUUGGGUCACAAUAAGACCAAUGAAGGUCUGCACAUGGGCCUUAACACACCUAUGUUGCUGCUAUCUUGUCUCGUGAAGCAUGACAUCCUUCUUAUAGAUUCACUGAAUCAACAUGUAAACUUCUCUAAUAAAAAUGGAAAUAAGAAUUUAUUUCUGCAUUUUAGUUUUUCUUUGCAUUUUCUGGAAGCAGUGCAAUAUAAUUCAGAUGCAGUGUGAGAAAGGCACUAUGAAAUCAUAAAUAAAGGACUCCAGUAUUCCUUUAUGAAAAAUCUUUUAACAUAAUAAAUUAAUAAUUAUUACUUCUACGGGGUUUUAUUUUGUUGUUGGUGGUGGUGUUUGGUGUUUUUUGUUGUUUGGUUCUUUUGAAGAAUCCUGUAAACCUUAACAGGAAAUUACAUGUCCAGUGCAAAAGUGUAUGAGAAGAGUCAAGAAAUCUAUGUCAUGGCUGUCAUUCUUCUUUCAAGACUAUUAACCUGAAAUCCUGGCUUCACUGCAUCUUAGCACUAAUUUCAGCAAAAAGUCAGACGUUCACUCCAUCAUGCUUUAGAAGCAACUGUCACUGUGUUAAAUUCUGCUCCUUCUUUCCCAUUCUCUUUUCCUGCUUGUCAGGUAAGUGUCUAUAAAUGUCAUGAGGCCAAAAUAAACUGGCGUGUGGAAAGACAGAUGUCUAGGAACAAGAAGGCAGAAUUCUUUGGUAAGACCAGGUAGAAGUAGAUAGGGCAAAGGGUUUGAUGAAAAAGUUGAUGAAGGUUUGGAAAUUGAUGAGAAUUCUACAUCUCAAGCCAAAAUGCAGGGGUUAAAGUGUUGCAGAAUUAUUUGGUCUUCAGUGAGAAAAAUGGUUCUGCUAAGUAGUUAUACAAAUGUACUAUUUAGUCAUUCACCACAAGAAAGUGUCAGGUUUUACUGUUACAGAGCAAAGAGGGACUACAGAGGAACAUACUGCUUUCCUUAGCCUUGCUCUCCUUCUGGAUGCAAU
ensembl:lncRNA